AUUGAACGCUGGCGGAAUGCUUUACACAUGCAAGUCGAACGGUAGAGGGGGCAACCCCCUUGAGAGUGGGCGAACGGGUGAGUAAUAUAUCGGAACGUGCCCAGUCGUGGGGAUAACGUAGCGAAAGUUACGCUAAUACCGCAUACGAUCUACGGAUGAAAGCGGGGGGAUCGCAAGACCUCGCGCGAUUGGAGCGGCCGAUAUCAGAUUAGGUAGUUGGUGAGGUAAAGGCUCACCAAGCCGACGAUCUGUAGCUGGUCUGAGAGGACGACCAGCCACACUGGGACUGAGACACGGCCCAGACUCCUACGGGAGGCAGCAGUGGGAAUUUUGGACAAUGGGGCGCAAGCCUGAUCCAGCAAUGCCGCGUGCAGGAUGAAGGCCU
rnacentral:rRNA from 1 species